AUGAGAUUAUACAUACACGGGACAUAUGGCCGGUGCCUGUCCGAACGCAACCCUUGGCGUAUGCAACCGGAGGAAUCGGUCAGGACUCGGGGCAACGUCACUCGUGCACUGUUGAGGACCCAGCAACCGGCCAAGGUAUGGCUUUGGCAUGUCUCCCUCACUAAAAGAUUAACCUGCAGCAGUACCUGUGUUAGAGAAAAAAGUUUAACCUGUGGUAGUAGUACAGUACCGAUGCUUGUUGGAAUGCAACAGGUGUGUGGGGGGAAGGAAGGAAGACGGCGCCUGUCUGGCUGUCCACAGGCUCGCAAAUACGCCGGUGGCCGAGAGAUAAUACAGUACCAGCGGCGGCACCUGGGUCUCCUCCACUGUUUCUGGAUGCCGAUUCCACGCUUUGGUCCGUAUCUGUACGCGCCCUCCCUCGCUCGCUGGAGGAAGGAAGGAAGGAGGGAAGGAAGCAAUCAUUCUGCACGGCCGGGUAGCCAUGGAUGGGCUCGCGCACACGAACCAAAGCAAAGCGCAAGUGGGUGGAGGGAGGGGGAGGCGCCUUUUCCAGCGGUUUGUUGCGAUUGGAAAUCUCUCUCCAGCUUUUCCCCUCCGCCCGGGCAACAGAAAGGCGAGCCCUUUUCCCCCCAUGGCCACCGGGGAGGAAGAUUCCCUCUGCUCGCAUUAGGGUUUUGCUCGCUCGCCCCAUGCGGUUCCAAGAUGCCGCUGCUAAACCCUGUGCUGGCUUUAACUGUCGCUGGGAGAUGGACGGUGAAAGGAGGGGGAAUCUCCCGUGCGCUUUGUGAGAUUUCUCUCCCUCUGGCUCUGGCUCUGGCUCAUCGCACUCCCUCCCAAUGCUCGUGCUCGGCUGGGCGGGCCGGGCCUGUGGUGGUGGUGUGCUUGCAUUGCGUGACAAUGACACGUCCCAGUCAGAAGAAGAUGGAGGAGGACAAGCCGUGGUGGAGGGGAACUGGCAAUCAUCAUCAUCACAAGCCAAGGCUGCGAGCCUUUUUGGCCACCCCAUUGUGCCGUGUGGCUUUGUCAGUGACUCAGCGCCCUAUGCACCAUUGCUACCACCUUCCAACUGUUCCAGAUAGGACAGUCAUCUUCUAA
rnacentral:rRNA from 1 species